rnacentral:lncRNA from 1 species
CUGCACUCCGCCAUCUCCCAGGAGCCGUGUCCUACCUAAGCCCAGUGGGCAUGUGAAGCAGAGGGCAGCCCUUGAAUGCGCGGCGGCUGAGCUACCGCGGGUGGGCCGUGCAGCAGGGCGCAGCGAGGCGGACAUCCAAACAGCGGAACUCAGACGCUGACUCCGAGCGCACCCCGGGCCUUCCCAUUUCAUACACCCUCGAGGAUGAGACCCAAGCACCUCCAAGGAAUAGCACCCGAGGUCUUCAGGACACCGACCGGUAGCCAUGGCCAGAUGCCCGGCCAACCCCUUCAGCGUGGCCACGCCCUGGAUAUUCGACCUCCCCUGAGGCCCCACCCCCUGAUAUCAGGCCACGCCCUCCGAGGGGACCGGUGGCAAACUCCAGCCCUCGCUCUAGGGCCCGCCCUUUGCGGCUUUGUCCCUGCCCACUGGGUCCUCACAGUACCUCCACCCCAGAGGCCCAGCAUCCCCUCCCGUUCUGCAGACACUUGUCCAGCGUCCCGCUGAGCUCGGCAGUGUGGCUAGUUUGUGUGGCCCUGCCCCUGGUGCCCAGCCAGGGUGGUCUGCAUGGAACUUCUUUCCCGGAGUUCCGGCCUCAGCUCCGAUGUCCACCCUUGUCCCCAGGUGGACACAGCACCGCCCAGCAUUUGGUGCAACUCCACCCUUCUGCAGAACGGGCCCCUCCCUGGGAAGGCAUGGCUUGCAAUAACAUCCCUCUGUACCUUUUCUGGCUUCC